GCCGAGAGCCACUGCGCUGUCAGCUGACGUGCCUAAGCUGAGAAUCGAAAUAAACAAGAUGAAAAGAAAAAAAAAACGACGCCCAGUGAUGGAAGGUCAGGUUUUAGUGCAACACGCCUAAUGUAGUCAAAUGGAAGAAAAAGGAGUGCUGCAGCUGCUCCAUACCUGGAAUAAACCACGGAGAAAAACAUGAUGGCCACACCCACGUAAGGCAAAAUGAACUCGUUGUAGUCGAACGCUGCACCGACCGGUCCGCAAUAAAAUUGUUGAUCCGAUAUACCCCCAUUUUCGGGUAUUUCCUGUGAAGCAACCAGAAGAAAAGGAGAGAUAAGGUACACACCAUAUUCUUUAUAUAUACAUGUCGGGAUAGCGUGCAGUUUUAUUGUAAUGAUGAUGAUGACGUGUUUACCAUCAACCCCUUGGAUUUCGGCUGAACCGACGACUCAGGAGAUGGAGUCGGCUCUCUUGGAAUACUCGACACGGCCGUCCACGUCAAGUAAGUUAUAUAAACUGAUAUGAUACCCGACUGUAGUAAGGCAGAAUGUGUUUCUCCUAUUGUCACAAUUGGCCAUUAAAAACAUCAUUAAGAUAAAUUGAAAUAAAUAUUUCUCUCUUACUUGGUCCACAGCAAAUGAGGACGGAUAUGACAGACAGGAAAAGAGACAAUCCGGCGUUGAUGCCAAUAAAAAUCUUGUUAGUCGUGCACCCAUCCCAAGUCGUGAAAAACUUGAAAAGCGCCAUGGUGCCGACGAUGGUGAUGGCGAAACACAAUAAGGUACACAUGGAAGACACUGUCCGUUGCAAGAAAGAAACAACACAAAUGAUUAAUUACCUAAAUUUUUCCGCCGGAAAAAAGGAUGAUUGAUUGGUUAUAACAAUUUGGAUAUUUUUACCUCCGUACCAACACACAGCACUGCCGCCUUCGGCUACCCUGUGAUUGAUUUUGUUACCAAGGCUCCGCGCGAAGAAGACAAGGAGCCACAAUUGGAUGAGGACGAAGGCGACGGCUCCUACGAGGGCUAUGUACAUCCAAACUGGGAAACGCGCCAAAAUUCAAAGUUUGUUUUACAAUUCAAAGUGACGGAGUGAAUCCCGACACAAAUUCUGAUUUACUAGCAUCACUGGAAUAGUAAAUGGUUACCUAUUUGGAAAUGAGUUAUUCUUUCUUCUGGUAGACAGAACACUCCAACUCCGAUGCCAAUCAAAAUGAGAAACUUCCACAACCAAGCUCCGUUGUGGAAUCCAGCCCUGAAGCCUCGACUCUUCUUCAGACCGAUGGUGAACAGAGACAUGAGGAAAAAGAAUCCAGACAAGGCAAAAGCAGUUCGAUAAACGGCCAUGUAUCCAACUAAAAGCUUGCAGUUGUCACCAAUCUUGAGCAGUUCACAGGUAGCUUCAAAAUGAG